ACUAAAAAUCUAGCCCAAACUACCCUAAUGCCCCGCUUAUAAACCCAAAUAAACUAAAACAUUUUAUGUGUUCAGUAACGGCGAUAAAAAAACUAAUUAGAGCUAUAGCAAUAGUACCGCAAGGAAAAGAUGAAAUAAAAAUGAAAUAAAUUUUAAGUAAAAAAAAGUAGAGCUUCACCCUCGUACCUUUUGCAUCAUGAUUUAACUAGUCUAAUCAAGCAAAAAGAACUAUAGUUUGACUUCCCGAAACUAGACGAGCUACUUCGGGGCAGCUUAAUGAGCGAACCCGUCUCUGUUGCAAAAGAGUGGGAUGACCUCCAAGUAGCGGUGACAGACCUAACGAGUCUAGUGAUAGCUGGUUACUUAAGAAAAGGAUUUUAGUCCAACCUAAAGCAGCUUAAAUACUUUUAAAUGACUUAUACGCUUUAGCGUCAUUCAAAUAAGGUUCAGCCUAUUUGAAAUAAGGAUACAACCUAGACUAAUGGGUAAUUAUUUCAUUAAUAUAAACAAGUGGGCCUAAGAGCAGCCACCUUUAAAAUAGCGUCAAAGCUUAUUUAUACUAAACACGAAUUUCACAAAAUAAUUAAAACCCUUUACUCCUAUUAAGUACUUCCAUAAUUAUAUAGAAGAUCUUAUGUUAAAACUAGUAAUAAGAAGACGCUCUUCUCUUAAAUGCAAGUGUACAUCAGAAUGAACAAUUCACUGAUAAUUAACGUCAAUGAACCUGAAACAGAAACUUUACUAGAAAACUCUGUUUAAAUUACCGUUAACCUAACACCAGAGCAUUACAAGAAAGAUUAAAAGAGAAAGAAGGAACUCGGCAAAUAUUAGCCCCGCCUGUUUACCAAAAACAUCGCCUCUUGUAUAUUUAUAAGAGGUCCCGCCUGCCCAGUGACAUAGUUCAACGGCCGCGGUAUCCUAACCGUGCGAAGGUAGCGUAAUCACUUGUUCUUUAAAUGAGGACUAGUAUGAAUGGCAUCACGAAGGCUAUACUGUCUCCUUUCUCCAAUCAAUGAAACUAAUCUCCCCGUGAAGAAGCGGGGAUAAAUAUAUAAGACGAGAAGACCCUAUGGAGCUUCAAACUAUACAGCAACAGCCAUAAUAAACCUAAUUAAUAGCCUGGCUUCCAUGACUGUAAGUUUUAGGUUGGGGUGACCGCGGAGCAAAAAUUAACCUCCACAUUGAACGGAAUUCUCCUGAGCAAAAAGCUACAACUUUAAGCACCAAUAAAUUGACAUCAAUUGACCCAAUAUUUUGAUCAACGAACCAAGUUACCCUAGGGAUAACAGCGCAAUCCACUUCAAGAGCUCCUAUCGACAAGUGGGUUUACGACCUCGAUGUUGGAUCAGGGUAUCCUGGUGGUGCAGCCGCUACUAAAGGUUCGUUUGUUCAACGAUUAAAACCCU
rnacentral:rRNA from 1 species